CCUUGGGGUGGAUUAAAGUGAAACGACACUAAAUAAUCGGUGUCUGAAAACAAAGUUUAUUUUAACAAUUUUGUAUCAACAGGUAUGCUAGCGUUUUGGGUAUUGUCAUAAAACAAUGCAAUAUAGAGAUAACUUUUGGGGGGGGAGAAACUGUUUAGGGGAGAGAAAAAACAGGAUGAGAGUAAGGGAAAAGAGAAGCUGAGAGUAUUCAGUCACCGCCCACUGGAUCCAGCAAUGCUUGAGAGCGAUGGUCUUGAUUUGCAGGCGGUGGGGGAGAAGGAGAACCCAAAAUCCCAAAGUCACCUGUC